AAGGCAAAUAAAUUCAUUGAGAAUAUACCCACAAAACUGCACUGACGUGCUGAUUGGCUUAUUGAAAUAUAUUUAUGUGCAAAAAUCAAAUACGAUUUCUACAUGGCGACCGUGAUAUGUUAACGAAACCCUGCCCCUGGAGGCAGUAGACAAACUGGACAAUUAAGGAAAUAAACCUCUGGAGGAAAUAAACCCCUGGAAAAAGUAAACCACUGGAGGAAAACGACAGUACACUGACUGCGACAAGAGCCCAUCAAUAACAUCUGACGUCGUAACUGGGACAUCGAGCGUCCAAGUUUCCUGACUGAUAACCAAUAACAGCAUAGGUAUAUAUAUCCAUAGGCUAAGCGCACAAUUUAAAAGGCAAAUAAAUUCAUUGAGAAUAUACCCACAAAACUGCACUGACGUGCUGAUUGGCUUAUUGAAAUAUAUUUAUGUGCAAAAAUCAAAUACGAUUUCUACAUGGCGACCGUGAUAUGUUAACGAAACCCUGCCCCUGGAGGCAGUAGACAAACUGGACAAUUAAGGAAAUAAACCUCUGGAGGAAAUAAACCCCUGGAAAAAGUAAACCACUGGAGGAAAACGACAGUACACUGACUGCGACAAGAGCCCAUCAAUAACAUCUGACGUCGUAACUGGGACAUCGAGCGUCCAAGUUUCCUGAGUGAGUAGAGAGCUAAGCGCACAAUUUAAAAGGCAAAUAAAUUCAUUGAGAAUAUACCCACAAAACUGCACUGACGUGCUGAUUGGCUUAUUGAAAUAUAUUUAUGUGCAAAAAUCAAAUACGAUUUCUACAUGGCGACCGUGAUAUGUUAACGAAACCCUGCCCCUGGAGGCAGUAGACAAACUGGACAAUUAAGGAAAUAAACCUCUGGAGGAAAUAAACCCCUGGAAAAAGUAAACCACUGGAGGAAAACGACAGUACACUGACUGCGACAAGAGCCCAUCAAUAACAUCUGACGUCGUAACUGGGACAUCGAGCGUCCAAGUUUCCUGAGCUAAGCGCACAAUUUAAAAGGCAAAUAAAUUCAUUGAGAAUAUACCCACAAAACUGCACUGACGUGC